UUGAACGCUGGCGGCAGGCCUAACACAUGCAAGUCGAGCGGUAGAGAGAAGCUUGCUUCUCUUGAGAGCGGCGGACGGGUGAGUAAUGCCUAGGAAUCUGCCUGGUAGUGGGGGAUAACGCUCGGAAACGGACGCUAAUACCGCAUACGUCCUACGGGAGAAAGCAGGGGACCUUCGGGCCUUGCGCUAUCAGAUGAGCCUAGGUCGGAUUAGCUAGUUGGUGAGGUAAUGGCUCACCAAGGCGACGAUCCGUAACUG
rnacentral:rRNA from 2 species